ensembl:lncRNA
UCCUGAGCAGAGAGGACACUGGGGGCCUUGUAACAGAACCCAGCAAUACGUCAGCUUCCAGGGGUAAAGAAGAGGGAAGACAGGAGGUGUGGUUCUGGAGGACUUCCUGGAGGAGGUUCUCUAAGCUACAUCCAGCUGGUGGCUUCUAAAGAGAACUGGACACCAUGGCAUCUGCCAGCCCAGACGCCUAUCACCAGCAGAAUAAGCCAGACCCAAGAAAAUGCUUGUGAACAGGGAUCUCUGUUCCCAUCACCACUGCUAGAAGGGCCAAAGCACGUUCCUCCAUGUGAUUUAUCUGCGCAUUCAAAAGCCUAGGGAGAGCCUCCCUGUCUGCCAGCAUUUUGGGAGAAUGCCCAGGACCUGUGCAAGGAAAUCAGAUUCUCUGGCAGCUGCUUUCAAAGGCCACAGAUACUCUAAAAAAGACAGAGUUGGAACUGAAACUCUGACUUGGGAGAGUCACCUUGCUGGGGACUCACAAAGAGCGAGGAAGAGCAGGGGUGUUGUGGCCCCGAGUCAGCCCUUCUCAAUUUGUCCAUACCAGCCAGCAGGCAUUUGCGCUGAGCUGGACAGCAGCCCAGCCCAGCAAGGCCGACAUCUCAGUUCACAUCAGAGGUGCUCUCCCUGCCUAAGCUGGAAUAACAACUUUGAGGAGAUAAAACACUUUUUACCAUCCAUGGACUCUUGCUACCAAAGAUCCUUCCAGAGACCUGUGCCCUCCCCUCACCAAAGAAACUUAAUCCCCAUGAAGCUCUGCCUUUCAGGAUGUUUGGACAACUCUGGGUUGACUCUUUUCCCCUGACCACAUGAUCGUCUUCAUGGGUAAGCCAGGAGGAGACACACUUCCCCGAAGUGAGAUGUCCAGCUGAAGCCAGCUGAAGUCCAUAGAGAGAGGCGAGUGUCCACACCAGCACCCCAACUUCAGUUCCUUGUCGAGGGGUGGUGCUCCAAACACAAUGCCAGAGGACGAUGAUUGACCGUAAAAAUGUGAAAAUCUAUGCAGUUCCUAGAGCUGCCCAGAGAGCAGUGGAACCUGGUUUGUGCUUUCUUUCACUUUUAAUGACUUCCUCUGCAGACAAAGCCCCACCAGGACAGAACUUACCAAGUUCAGAAAGUUCCAGGGCAUUCUACCAGGCUACCCUUAUUCUCAAAAGUUGCUGGGCUCUGUGGGCGACCUUUUGGGCCUCCUCCAGCCCCUCCUAAUUCUUCCAGGGGAAGAUAGGGUCACCUGACCCCCCAGUGCUGGUGGCCAGGAUCUGAG